rnacentral:tRNA from 1 species
GUGUGCUUAGCUCAGUGGUUAGAGCUUUAUUCUUGAUUGUUGAGGUUACAGGUUCAAUUCUGUAGCACACA